UGGCCAACCCGCGGCCUCCACGGGAGAGUUGGCGGCCGCUGAUUGGAGGAGGUAGCGAGAGGCGGGUUUCUCCUCCUCCCUGGGCCGCCAUUUUUGUUAAGGGAAAGUUGCCCUUGCGGACACCAUCUUGUAGGUGGGCAGAUCCUUAGCAAGGCGAGGCGUUCUUGAGCGGGAGAAUUUGAGAUGGACAGAGCGCAGGUGGGGGUUUGGAGGCCGUAUCUGUGGAUGUCUGGAGCACACUGAGGAUUGCCCUGUCAGGAGGACAGCAAUGAAUGUACAGCUGUAGCACUUUAAUAUCAGUUUUGCUUCAGAUGGGGCCAGCAGGUACGCUCACGAUGGAGAGAUGUGCUGCGGAAUUCCACCAACUGUUUCAGAAAUGCACGUGCUACUCUGUUAUGCAAAGAAACCCAAGGAAUGCAUUACGUCUGAAUCAGCGACGCACAGAACAAAGGGGUGCUGUUCAAAACAUCCUGUUACUGCACUCCAUACAAAGAAUCUCCAAAUCCUGUUGCACCAGGGCAACAACUGCUGUUGCUUCUGCCUGCUCCAGGACUGAGUUUGCUGACGGAGUUGCACUAUGCCAGAAAGCCACCCCACCCUCCAGAGAAAUACGAGUUCCACAAAGUACUUGUUCCAGCAUUCACAAAAUCUAACGGCAGUCUACCUUCUGCACCUUUUAAGUUAAGCACUGAAAAGGGCGACAGAAUGUGCAGUAGAUAUCAGAACAACAGAAAGUUAACUCCACAGAGGCUCAAAUUCAGUAAAUUCAGGAAUUUAUUCUGUCCUCCUCUGUGUGCACCUGCCAUAAAUCGGGUAUCCGUGUACACCAUUUGAUUAUUUUCAACCCCCUAUGAAUACACAGUAAUGACAGACAUUCAGAAUGAUCAGACUGCUGUUGUACAGCCCCUCUAAUCAGAGCAAGGUGGUGCACUGUGAGAGCAAACCUCAGGGAGGUCUUCCAGCAGAAAUGGACUCUGCCCAUGUUGUCUGCAUUCUUGCUUUUGCAGUUUUAUUUGCAAGAUCUGCUGUUUUUCUGUUUUGUUUUGUUUUUACAAUGAAGGAAUUCAGUAUAUCAGUACAUUUACUACUUUCAGAAGUAAAUUUUCCCACAGAAAAAAGCAAAAAAAACCAAAAAACCCCAAACCAAAUGUGAUUAGGGAGAUGGAAUUGAGUACUUAAUUCUCUUAAAAAUUUCUAAGAACCUCAAAUUAGAGAUUAACAUGAAAAUAUUUCACUCACUUCUAAGGAAUUGCCUUGACUUACCUUCAUUGAAAACAUAACUCUGAAUUGAGCUUUCAUACCUGUGUGCUAUACCAGAGACCCAGCUUGGUUCAUUAGCAGUUAGGGCUAAUUCUGCUACUGGAAAACUCUACUCCUGUCCAUCAUAAGCCGAAUUUUAAUACUGUUCUCUUCUUAAUUGGGAAGGUUGCUGGGAUUACAAGCAGCCUGUGUUAGUAACAAAAUAGAGGAAGCACAAGAGACUUUGUUCCAGCCAAAUGGACCAUUUAAGAAACAGAACCAUAAUUUAUUACUUUUGUAUGGGCUUGAGAAAGAAAAGAAAGACAUCCUCUGAAAAUCCCCUUCGUACGACAGCUGACCGAGCCCAGACUUUGUACAGAUGAGAUGGUCUCAUCUUUAGGAGAGUUUAGAAGCAACAUUCUCUGCCCAGUCACUGUAUUUAGAGGUAGUGCUAAAGGUGACCUGUAAAAGAUGUGUAUCCUUUUUUGCUUCUUUAUGCUGAUUGUAGCAGGAGAAACUGAGUGGCUAGGGGAAGAACAGGACACGUUGAUGCUACUCCUGUUUCUGACACUAAUUUACAUGCUGGAGAUCUCCCACCUGCACUGAAUUCUUCAUCCCUUUCUGGAGCCUGACCAUAAAAAAAGCUAGGGGGGGAAGGCUGUAUCGCCACAUGAAGAGAAAAGAACCAAAACCUUCAAAAAGAGAGAAGGAGCUCUUACAACUUCUUCAUACUUUCUAAAGAGCAAAAGAGGAAAGAAAUGUUCCUUCUUUACAGGCUGCCUUUAAGAUUUCUGACUCUAGGGUGCACGCUACACUGAGCAUUUCUUGCAUCUGCCUACUGUGAGAGAUGGACAUCCUCCACGCCAGCUGCAGUGACUUUUGGAGGGGGGCUGAGGAAUGACGGUUUUGGGUAAUGGAUCUCAGCUCCUGGGUGAUGGAAGUUAGUGAGAAUUGUGAUGUUCAGCCCUGAGGCAAGGAAUAGUGGAUGUCAUGCAUUUAGCCACUUUUUCUUUACUGGUGAGUCAUCAACCAGUUGUGGCAUGAAGAACUUUUUAUUUUAACUGGAAUAGAAAUGCUGGUGUUGACAGCCUGCCCAAAGCUGGGCAUGGGAAAGGCCUACAAUCAAGUCACAGCUCCAGUGGCUACUAACCUCCCCCUCAUCCUGUAACACAGAUGAACAGCAUGACUCCAAUGAGAAAGCAGGUUGGUUUAGCCAGUGAAAGCAAAUUUUAAGAAAUCAAACAGUACAUAAAAAACAAAGGAGGCAGAGUUUGUUGGAAAUGGUAUCUUGGAAAUCAGUGCAUCAGCACUGGUUAAUUGCCUCAGCACCUAUGAACCAAUGCAGGGAGAUCACUGCACAGAUAUGUACAAUCCUGCUCUCAAAAGAGCCAAUAUCUUCUUAGAAUUGCCAUCUUUCCACUGCCUGCUCCUCAUGCACCUUCCAGACUGACAGUUCAUAAAAUCCCUGAUUUCAGCAAUGAGCUUUCACUUCUGUACAGCAAUAAAAUGUGUCCCUAGUGCAACUGCUUCUACUCAAGUGUGUCCCAGAGCUGAGAGGAAACCAGUUUCAAAAUCAGCUUUCCACCUUUCCUCCUCCUUCCUCCUCCGCUUAAGACUGUAUUUUUCAGCUUCUGCAAGUCUCUAUGGCUUGUGUGCCAUGCGGUGCAGUUAAGAAACUGCAGAAGGAAUAACCAUCCACUGCACAGAAAGUUAAAAAAACGUAACGGAAAGGUGUAAAAGGAAACUUGAAAGGAAAGCAGCAACCUCCCUUGCUGGCCCAGUUGCAUAUGCGGGCUCCAGCCAAGCUUGUGGCAGUAGAAGUCAGCUUGUUGUUCUCCGAGUCCUCAGCUCUGCGCUCUGGUCACAUCUGGAAUGACAACGCAAGCUGCUUACCAGCAGUUGUUCCUACUGCUCACUGAUGCCGUGCUCCCAUGCUACCCUGGCCUGCUCUUCCUUUCCACCACUCACAGGCUGGGACACUUUACGAUGCAACUGGCGGUGUUUGUCGUCAUCUUCAAUUAUCAUUCCUUCCUCAUUCUCUGUGUUUGGCAGCCGGGAGUGGUAAGGUUUGGGGGGUAGAGCAGGAGGGUCCAGGGUGUCCUGAGGAAUGACUCCUGACGGAGCUGAGUGGCUUCGGCAUGGCUGGGAUUUGAGUGACUCGAGGACGUCAGGCUCAGAGAGACUGUACCUCACAGGGAGGUAGGGUGUCUCUAGAUCUUCGUCAGUGUUCCAGGCCUGGCUGGGGACAGAAUCCAUGGUGUCGGUGCGAGGAGGUGGUUCGGAGGAAUGUCCAAAAUUACUCUCGCUCAAGGAGGAGACACCACUGCUUGCACUGCCGGAUAAAGUGGAGUUGCUUCCAUCUAGACCAGACUGUGGACUGGUGGGUGAUGCAGGGAUGGGAUGAAGAGGGGACUGUUUGCAGAAAAACAGAAAUCUUGUUAAAAUCGACACGGGAGGCAACACUGCAGCUCGCUAACAUUUCAGCUUUUAACAGUGAUGUUAACAACAGUGCAGUCCUGGUUUUGUUCAAAAUGUCAGCCAUUGGCAGUCUGUAUAUAUAUUCCCCUGAUUUGUAUGGAAACACCUCUUGUGGACAAAUCAGUGCACUUAACACAGCAGCUGAAGUGAUAAAAUCCCUCUCUCCCUCUGUACUGAGGGGGCCUGAAAUCACAACAUAAGCAAAAGGGAAGUGGGAGGGCCUAAAUUUAAGUUCAGCAGUUUAUAAACUUGGAAUGAAUUUUCUCUCAAUUAAGUCAAUAGCAUUUUAAAAAUAGUGAAUCUGUAUUCAAGAACUACUUGGAGGUGACAGUGGACAAGGGUGUCCUUCCAGAGCCUAUACUUUUUCUUCUGUUUUUCUCUCCCUGACACUUCUUUUUUACCUUGCGCAAUGUUCGUGCAGGCAGUGCCGGAGGAGCAUCAUUGAGCUGGUGAUGGAAGGCAUCAAAGUGCAGCGAGUAGUGUCCUGGAAUGAGACAAGGGUCAGAAAUACGGACCUCAACGCUGUAAGAGAGUUGGGGUUUUAGAUUCUGCAAGCCAAGUAACAGCUCCAACCACUGAUGAGACCGAUCCAGCCUGAGGCUUCCCUUCCGAUCAGUACUGUGGAGUGCAUCUGUCACAUCACAAAAUACUUACAAGAAGUUCAGUGCAGUGAUAGAUUUCCACCCACCCCCUGUAUCAAGGAUUUCACGGCAAGGCAACGGGCUCGUAAACAACGAAUGACUGAAGGUUUAUUUAGUAGCUAUGUAACCAUAAAUUAUUGCUGAAGAUAGCCACUGGCAAAAAGCCAAGUCAGACUUCCAACACACACACACACCUAGCCCACAGUUCUAGCCCACACAAGUCCAUGUUAUUUGUAACAACUGCAAAAUUUGAAGAUCUUGAACAAAACUGAAAAUGUCCACUGCUAACCUGGCAGACCAGGAAAGACUUUGACUUCUUGUUUCCGAUGCUUUCUAUGAGGGAAAACAAGAACUAUGGCCAGUUUUCAUCUGGCCUAGUCAUUUGGCAUGACUGCAUGACUUAUGCAGCAGAUCUACUGGGCUUUUCCUUACCAUGGGGCAGGCUUCGGGGAGGUACUGGUGGGGCCAAGAUGCUCCCAACGUGGACAGAUAGGAAUGGCAGGGCCUCUCUGGUUCCGCUGUCUAGGCUCCAGCUACUGGGCGCUGCUGGCACAGCUGAAGGAUUGAAACAGAUUUAACUUGGGUAAUGGGGUGAUGCGACCAGAAGGACUGGCUUGCCAGUGUACUCUGUAAUAAGUGAGGUGAGAUUUGAAGAACUUGGGGUGUGGUAGGAGGUUGGAGGCAUACAAAGGCAUCUAGUCUACAGCAUGUUUAGUUUACAGGGUGCUUUGUUAAAGAAGCGAGAGUUAGGUGAUCAGUGCUUGUUAGUCAGCCCAUCUCCCCUCUGCUGACCCUCCAGGCUCACUUCUAUGAACUAUGAAGAGCAGUAGAAUUCUGUGAAGUUUUUUUGUUUGUUUGUUUGUUUUAUGAGCCGGUAAGUAAAAAUGAAAUCUUUUUUAUGAUGAAAUCUUUUUUAAUGGUGAAGCAGCAGCUGGAUCUCAGCUAUGAGCUGUUCUGCCUGGCAGGGAACAACUCCAGAGCAGGAAGAAACAUGGGCAGAACUCCUGUGAGACACAGGAUGGCUGCAGUUGUAUUACAGUGGCUAAGCAAAGAGCGAGUGAAGGAUGUGAGGGCAAUGACCAUAAUCUGGUACAGAAGAAACCAGGACUUCAAAGAUCUCAUUUGCUCCAGAGCUGAUUGAUUAAUCUGAUCCCCAAGUACUUAAAGAUAACAGCCCAGGCUCCUUGAUUUAAAAAGUCAGCAAUGAGACUGAGCCUUUGUUAACUGGGAAAGACAGAAGCAAGAGUGCUUUCCUCAUAUAACAGGUAUUGAGAAUGAUUCUACGUGACUUUGUGUUUACAUCAUAACAGUUGCUUCUAACGAUGAGAAUGUGUCAGGAUCUCAAGAAUUUUGCCAACAGACAUUAUUAAAAUGCAUCUUCACCUCUUCCAAACGCACUCUAAGACUCAAUUUGUUCUGAGGAAAUAGAAAUGCAAUAACCGUGUAUGUGUUUAUAAACAAUCGGUGCGUUUCAUCAGCUCAGGCAGAAAAGAAAAGGGGGAAGAGGAACAAAGUACUUCAGUAGGUCUACCACAGAAAGGUGAGAUUAAAGACAGCUUUUGCCAUCUUCAGUUUGAAACAUGUAAAACAGAAGCCUGGAGAAAUAAACAGAGUUUGACAUAUGAAGAGAAUUUGUCCCUAAUUAAAAUGCCUGCAACCAUUUUUCAGAUGUGUUUCUUCUCUAAAAUGACUCUGAAAGGUUUAUUAUUGUUUUUCCUUAGCUCAUGAACACAGACUCCCCAAGAUCUAAAACUCCCCAGGGUAAAAAAGAUCAGAAAAUGACAGCCUCAAAAGACAGCCGAAAACCCACAAAAAUGUUGGCUUUAAAGAGAGACCCUCAAAGCAAGAAUGAAGUACAAAGAAGAUGCUAAGAAUCUUGACAGAGAACAGGUUCAAACAAAGGGAUGCAUACAUCUCAAAACAGAAAGAAGUCCUUCAGUUUGGUUGUGAUAACAUACAAUAUAGCGUCAAGAUAUCCACAAAAGUCUGAAACAUAUCUGUCACAGAACACUGAUGUACAGCAGAGCACAAAUGGGUGGAAGGUACAAAGA